AGUGGCUGACGAGUCCCAAAUAUGACGAAACGCACGUCUCGGAU
rnacentral:hammerhead_ribozyme from 1 species